rnacentral:rRNA from 1 species
GAUGAACGCUGGCGGCGUGCCUAAUACAUGCGAGUCGAGCGAACAGAUGAGGAGCUUGCUCCUCUGACGUUAGCGGCGGACGGGUGAGUAACACGUGGAUAACCUACCUAUAAGACUGGGAUAACUUCGGGAAACCGGAGCUAAUACCGGAUAAUAUAUUGAACCGCAUGGUUCAAUAGUGAAAGACGGUUUUGCUGUCACUUAUAGAUGGAUCCGCGCCGCAUUAGCUAGUUGGUAAGGUAACGGCUUACCAAGGCAACGAUGCGUAGCCGACCUGAGAGGGUGAUCCGCCACACUGGAACUCAGACACGGUCCAGACUCCUACGGGAGGCAGCAGUAGGGAAUCUUCCGCAAUGGGCGAAAGCCUGACGGAGCAACGCCGCGUGAGUGAUGAAGGUCUUCGGAUCGUAAAACUCUGUUAUUAGGGAAGAACAAAUGUGUAAGUAACUAUGCACGUCUUGACGGUACCUAAUCAGAAAGCCACGGCUAACUCCGUG